UACAGAGGGGGCAAGCGUUGUUCGGAAUUACUGGGCGUAAAGGGCGCGUAGGCGGCCUUCUAAGUCAGACGUGAAAUCCCUCGGCUCAACCGGGGAACUGCGUCUGAGACUGAAAGGCUUGAAUCCGGGAGAGGAAUGCGGAAUUCCAGGUGUAGCGGUGAAAUGCGUAGAUAUCGGGAGGAACACCAGUGGCGAAGGCGACUACCUGGCCUGUUCUUGACGCUGAGGCGCGAAAGCUAGGGGAGCAAACGGG
rnacentral:rRNA from 1 species